AUGCCAUGAUGACAUUCUUAGGACACCUUUGGAGGUUUAGGCCUGUGAAAUUAAGCUUUGUCUGAGCAUG
ensembl:snoRNA SNORD58 Small nucleolar RNA SNORD58